CUGGGCUAGGAAAUGGUUGCUGUGUAGCUGUGCCUGCUUGGGUUCAGCCUUGUACCAGCUAACCUCACCUUGCCCUAUAUAAAAGCGUGGCAUAUCCCUUUCAGAGGUCUGCCCCAUGCAGUAACAGGUGUGAGCAUUCUGUCAGUAGUUUGAUGGUCAUGUAUGAUACUGCAUACAAUU
rnacentral:snoRNA from 1 species